CUCUCUCUCUCUCUCAAAAUAAAUAAAGGAAUAUUAAAAAAAAAUACACCUCAUAAAGGAGAGAGUUCCAGCAAUAUAGCACUUAGGUGCAAAUAAUUUAUUUGUUGUGAGGCACUCUGAAUAUGAAAUACCAAGACAAUUUAAUAGAACUCCUACUGAAGAGAGAAUAUAUUUAGCUACUGAAGCUUCCUCCAGAGACAGCUCAUAACUCAUGAAGUUAUGUAACUGCUGAGAGCAGCUUUGAUGAUUCCAGAGUCUAACUCUCAGGGAGGCUUUUCACUAAGAGGCUGCGUGUAUUUAUGAUCUUAGCCAGAGCAAGUGUAAUGCUACACACAAACGGAAUAAAUACACAACGAUCAUCAACACGAUGGAGCACUGAGUGGGACAUUCGCUUAGAUAUAUAGUAAACAUAAGUAGUCACUUUAGUUCCCACAGCAUUUUUUUUUUUUUGACAAUUCCAUUCGGGGUCGAAAAGCUUAUUUUGGGGGGCAUUUUGUUGAGUUUCUCCUCACUAGUAUAUUUCUGUCCCUCAAGUAGCCUUUUCAAUAGUUAUCCCUGCAGAUGUUAAUAUUUACAAAAGGACUUCGGAGAAAUUUAAAGCAGACACUAUUUUUCAUGCUACCAAUUUGUUUAACCUCUGGAGCUAAAAAAAACUGUUUUGAGAUACAGCACAUUUAAUAAUUUCUUUAUAAGAAAACCCAAGAUUUUUUUACUCCUAGAAUUGGCUAUGUAUAAAUCACCUUCCUAAGAUUACAAAAUGGUAGAUCUUCUUGUUAAACCAGACUCAGAAAAUUCUCCCCUUUCCUCAAAGACACCCUAGUCCACCAUGCUUACAAAUGAGCACAGUUACCAAGCACUGGGUGGUAGAUACCAUAUAUUUUUUAAAAGCUGCAUACGUUCCCAAACAAACCUACACAGAAAGAUGUUUCAUAAUACCUGACCCAUUAAAAAGCUUAGUGUGGACAGAGAUCAAACCUAACCUCUUUGCCAUUCUCUGUUGUGCUUGGUCAUCUGGGACUUGUGACACAUCAUUUUUUAAGCCUGGUGAAGGGGAGAAAGAUCGUAUCUCUGUUCAUGUCACAUUUCAAUUGUUCAAUUAAUACCAGAUAACUUAAUAUUAAAAAGGCGCACUCAUCAGGCUAAAGGACAGACCUUUAUAGAAAAUAUUUGUGAUCUUUCAACUGUCAGGAUCCAAGUAGCUACUCCUUUUCAAGAUACCAAAACUGUUGCAGCUUCUUCCAGAAUUAACAAAUCUCUCCUGAGCAGUGUGACUUAACAUAGUCAAGAUUUUCUGAAGCCAUAAGCUGUAUUUCAAUGUGAAGUAAACUCCUUACCAGCAGUCUUUGAAGUCUCUUUGGGAAAAGUUGUUAUUAUAAUUUUCUGGUUAAAUACUUAGGGAUUGAAUUACAAUAAAAGAUUCUAACAGAUUUUAUCUUUUGGAUUUAAGACAGUUUGGAGGAGGAGCUCUGGAGAAAAAAGGCUGUGUUGGGAAAAAGAGCACUGCUGAAAGCAAAGCAAAGGCUGUCUGAUCAGAGAGCAAUUCUGGAAGGGCCAAACUCAUGAUGGUCCAAGCACUGGCACUAUUAACUGCCUUUCCCUCUCAAAUGUCUUCUCACCCUUAGCCUACAGACAUGCUUAAGUCUCUCCCAUCUGAAAACACACCAAAAUCUUUCUUCUACCCCGUGUCCUGCCCCACACUGCAGACCACCUUUAGCUCUCACCCUCUCUCUCUUCUUCUAAAACUCUUGAAAGAGCAGGCUACUUAGCUCUACCUCUUCUCCCUCCACUCCCUCCCUGACCCAUAGCAACCUGCGUUGGGCGCCCCCGCCCCCACCCCUAGGAGCAGACGCCACCAUGGAACACCGUCCUCAUGAUAGCCAAAUCCAACUUUUCAGGCUUGAUGGCUAUUGCUGACCAUUCCCUUCUUGCUUAAAACUUUCAUUGGUUUUAGUAAUAUUACUUUUUCCUGAUUUUCUUCCUCUCUCUGACUAAAUAUUUUCAAUCAUCCUUUACAGUUUCUUCUUUUCAGCAGCAGCUUUCCAGACCGCUGCCAAAAUAUAUGCACCCUGAAUGCUGGUGUGCCACCAACUCCACCCUUUGCUCUCCUCUCUUUUUAUUCUUCAUAUUCUUCCUUGGCAGUCACACUUCCUCUAGGCUCUUCUCCAGCUUCUGAUGUUAUAAAAAUAUAUAUACUAUUAACUACCUCAAACAUACAUACAGCCCAGGUUUCUCUCCCAAGCACAGAUGUGUAAGCCUGCCUAUCCACUAGACAUCCCCAUGUGAUGGCACAUUCAAUGCAUCUAAACCCAGGCUCAUAAUCUAACUCCCCAGACAGGUAUACCCCUCCUCCUCUACUUCCUUUUUCUGUUGAUGGCAUUACCAUCCUUCCAGUCAUCCAAGCUAGAACCUUCAGAAUCCUAUCUUAUCUUUUCUCCUUUAAUCCCUUUUAUACUUUCUAUUAUUGUUCACCAAGUCCUCUUAGUUCUACUUUCCAACUUAUGUUUCAAGUAUGUCUCUCCUUUCAAUUCCCAAUGCUGUUGACUUAGGUCCUCAUCCUUUCCUAUUUGAACCAGUGCAAUCAAUAGCUUCUCAACUGUGCUCCCUGCCUCAAACAUUUCCCAUAUCUAUGUAGCAUACAACUUAUCUACUAAAUCUAUCUUCUAAUUUUUAUUUUUAGAUAUGACUAAAGUAACUCAGACUUCUGGGAAAAUUGUAGAUUUACUUCAUGUGGAUUUACCUGUGCUCCAAACAGAAAGAGUUAGAGAUGAAUAAGGAGUAGAAACCACAAUGAAUUAAAUAGGACACCAUGAAAAAAGAACAGACAGAUAUGAGAAAAAACCUAACCAAUAUUCUGGAUGUAAAACAUGUAUUCAUGGAAAUAAAAAGCUCAGUGGAUCAGGUAAACAUCUGGUUAAAUAGUAGGUGAAGAGAGAAUUCAACUCACUGGAAGAUAAUGUAUCACAAAGGGGUAAAACAAUGGGAAAUACGACAGAGAAGUUAAAAAGGUAGGUCCAGUAGACAUCUGACAGGAUUUCUAGGAAACGAGAGAGGAUGGCAGAAGAGCAGUGCUUGAAGUGACAAUAACUGUACAUUUUCCAAGUGGAAGAAGCAUGAUGAAUGUGAAGAAGGAAAUGAAAACAAAGAUACAUCAUAGGGAAACUGCAGAACACCAAAGACAGAGAAAAUCUUAAAAGCCACCAGAGAGAAAAUCAGAUUACCUACAAAGUAAUGAUAACUACAUUGACAAUGGACUUCAAUGGCAUAGAGAACGUCAAAGUUCUCAAAACACUGAGGGAUGACUGACAAUGUAGAAAUUCCCUGCUUUGCUCGACAAUCAUGCAAUUGUGAAGGCAAAAUAAAGACAUUUUCAAAGAUGGUUUAUCAUUUACAGACUCUUAAUAAAAGAACAUUUUUUCAGCAAAAAGAAAGCUGAACACAGAAUGAAUAAUCGGAUGAAAGGAGCAACACUGAACAAAGACACUGCACCUGGUACACAGCAGGUAUUGAUACUUGCUGGAUGAAAGAUGAACACAGAAUUUCUAAAGAAAACAGGAGGUUACCCCCAGUUAGCAAUUUCCUCAACAUCUGAAGCAGUCUUACCUCCACAAUACUCUUGGUCACAGGAGAUCUUCCUCUUCGAAGUUCAUUGGCUUCUCUUUGUACAAAACAGAGUGGUACUUUUCCUACAAGGACCAGAGAAUCACUAUUGUCUGGAAAUAUAAUUUCAAGGCCCAGAUCUUCCAGAUUUUUGUGGUAG